rnacentral:rRNA from 1 species
GACGAACGCUGGCGGCGUGCUUAACACAUGCAAGUCGAACGAGAGGCGAACGGGUGAGUAACACGUGGGUGACCUGCCCUGCACUUCGGGGUAAGCCUGGGGAACUGGGUCCUAUACCGGCUAGUGUGGGAUGGGCUCGCGGCCUAUCAGCUUGUUGGUGGGGUAAUGGCUACCAAGGCGCGACGGGUAGCCGGCCUGAGAGGGUGGACGGCCACAUUGGGACUGAGACACGGCCCAGACUCCUACGGGAGGCAGCAGUAGGGAAUCUUCCGCAAUGGGCGAAAGCCUGACGGAGCAAUGCCGCGUGUGUGAUGAAGGUCUUCGGGUCGUAAAGCUCUGUUAGUAGGGAAACGGUACCUGAACAGAAAGCCACGGCUAACUACGUGCCAGCAGCCGCGGUAAUUC